rnacentral:rRNA from 1 species
GAUGAACGCUGGCGGCGUGCCUAAUACAUGCAAGUCGAGCGAACAGACGAGGAGCUUGCUCCUCUGACGUUAGCGGCGGACGGGUGAGUAACACGUGGAUAACCUACCUAUAAGACUGGGAUAACUUCGGGAAACCGGAGCUAAUACCGGAUAAUAUAUUGAACCGCAUUGUUCAAUAGUGAAAGACGGUUUUGCUGUCACUUAUAGAUGGAUCCGCGCCGCAUUAGCUAGUUGGUAAGGUAACGGCUUACCAAGGCAACGAUGCGUAGCCGACCUGAGAGGGUGAUCGGCCACACUGGAACUGAGACACGGUCCAGACUCCUACGGGAGGCAGCAGUAGGGAAUCUUCCGCAAUGGGCGAAAGCCUGACGGAGCAACGCCGCGUGAGUGAUGAAGGUAUUCGGAUCGUAAAACUCUGUUAUUAGGGAAGAACAAAUGUGUAAGUAACUAUGCACGUCUUGACGGUACCUAAUCAGAAAGCCACGGCUAACUACGUG